UGGAUGCUGGUCGCAGACGGAGGGAGCGCUGCAGUGCGUACCCGCUGGCGCUGAGAUGGCGCGGUUCUGCGCGGCACCUUUUCCCAAUUUUUGACAGAAAACCUGUAACUGCGCUAAUUUCAUCUCCGAGGACGCUGGCACUCCCUAGAGACCGAACGAGUGGAUUUGAUUGGGCCAGGAGUGGGAAACCGCGGCACAGAGAGACACAAACCGGGAGAAGGUCGACUAUUUCAGCUACAAAUUUAAAUCAUGUUCCUCUCAGUUUCUGACGGAUGGAGCUGAUGAUGGAGACGCAAAACGAGAGGAACGCAUUCGGUGCUGCCUGGCCCAACAGACUGGGGCAGUGUGGAAGGAGGGCAACAGAUAAAUUCCCAGUGCCACGAAGCAGCAGUCCUGUCAGUGGUUAUGUUGAAUUUCCCUGCAUUGCUGACCAAGCUUUUACAACAAUUGAAUGGGAUGAUUUGGAGUGCUCUGCCUCUGCAGUGACUCAAGAGAGAGA